rnacentral:rRNA from 1 species
UACGUAGGGUGCAAGCGUUGUCCGGAAUUAUUGGGCGUAAAGAGCUCGUAGGCGGUCUGUCGCGUCGGAUGUGAAAAUCCAGGGCUCAACCCUGGACCUGCAUUCGAUACGGGCAGACUAGAGUUCGGCAGGGGAGACUGGAAUUCCUGGUGUAGCGGUGAAAUGCGCAGAUAUCAGGAGGAACACCGGUGGCGAAGGCGGGUCUCUGGGCCGAAACUGACGCUGAGGAGCGAAGCGUGGGAGC